UACGAAGGGUGCAAGCGUUACUCGGAAUUACUGGGUGUAAAGCGUGCGUAGGUGGUUCGUUAAGUCUGAUGUGAAAGCCCUGGGCUCAACCUGGGAAUGGCAUUGGAAACUGGCGACCUAGAGUGCGGUAGAGGGCAGUGGAAUUCCCGGUGUAGCAGUGAAAUGCGUAGAGAUCGGGAGGAACAUCUGUGGCGAAGGCGACUGCCUGGACCAGCACUGACACUGAGGCACGAAAGCGUGGGGAGCAAACAGG
rnacentral:rRNA from 1 species